AUCCAUUUUCUCAGGCAGGGACUACAGGAAAUGAAGGUGAUCUUGUGGGGAUUUUGGAGAGAAUUUAAUGAAGAGGCUGUUUACCAAGGAUCUCUCUCUGUCUCCGAGGCUGGAGUGCAAUGGUGCAAUUAGGGCUCACUGCAGCCUCGACCUCCUGGGCCCAACUGAUCUUCCUACCACAGCCUCAUGAGUAACUGGGACUACAGAAGACCAUGGGCAUUUUUUCUAUGCAACUACAGAUAGUAUCCCAUGAUGUGAAUGGCCCUGGAUUUACUUACACAUCCUCCUUUUGAUGAGCAAAAAGUAAAUUUUUCACAGUGAUAGACAUUUGUAGUGCUUUUUAAAGGCACUGGUUCUGGUGGACACUGAGAGUCAAUUUUUAUUUGCUGCAUGUGGAAAGGACAACAACAUACCUGGACAGAAAUGCCUCAAGGAUGUACUGAAGGCCCCUGUCACUUUUCACAGCCAUAACUGUAAGUUUCCUGAGGCCUCUCCAGAAGCCAAGCCGAUGCCGCUAUGCUUCCUGAACAGCCCACAGAACUCUCCCAGUUGUGGGCAGAGUCUGGUUAAGGUACAGCCUUGGAAUUAU
rnacentral:lncRNA from 1 species